AGAGUUGAUCAUGGCUCAGGAUGAACGCUAGCUACAGGCUUAACACAUGCAAGUCGAGGGGCAGCAUGAUCAAAGCUUGCUUGAUGAUGGCGACCGGCGCACGGGUGAGUAACGCGUAUCCAACCUUCCCCUUAGUAGGGCAUAGCCCGGCGAAAGUCGGAUUAAUACCCUAUGUUAUUCGUCGAGGACAUCUGAAGUGAAUCAAAGAUUUAUCGCUAAGGGAUGGGGAUGCGUCUGAUUAGGUUGUUGGCGGGGUAACGGCCCACCAAGCCAUCGAUCAGUAGGGUUCUGAGAGGAAGGUCCCCCACAUUGGUACUGAGACACGGACCAAACUCCUACGGGAGGCAGCAGUGAGGAAUAUUGGUCAAUGGGCGAGAGCCUGAACCAGCCAAGUAGCCGUGCAGGAUGACUGCCCUAUGGGUUGUAAACUGCUUUUAUACGGGGAUAAAGUGAGGUAUGCAUACCUUUUUGUAGGUACCGUAUGAAUAAGGACCGGCUAAUUCCGUGCCAGCCGCGGC
rnacentral:rRNA from 1 species